GCCAGUUUAGGGCAAGGUGAACGCGGAAGUAGAGUACUUGUUUUUCUCGCUGCUCGGUCUGUGGUGGGGUGCCUGGUGCGAGAUGGAGGCGGGCGCAGCUGCGGAAGAUGGUCCGGACGGUCUCCGGGAGCGGCGAGGCUUGGAUGAAGCUGGGAGGCAGCCGCAGAACCACGAAGUGCGAUCUCAAUCCCGGGCCGACCGGUUUCCAAAGCAUUCCUACUGGUUGGAUCUCUGGCUCUUCAUCCUCUUCGAUGUAGUGCUGUUUAUCUUCGUCUAUCUUUUACCAUGGUGAGUACUCUGAACGCAAAGUUGAACUGGUAGGGAGUUUACCACCACAGUUUGGGGGUAGGCCAGAAUGGUUUGCCUGAUGUCUAGAUUAAGAAGUUGACUCCUGGAGUGGAUUCUGAAAAUGACUGCAAACUUCUUGAACAAAGAAGACAGGGUUGUGCAACAGAAUUUCAAACUCUGGGGAACUUUUCUUUGAUUUUACAUACUCUUGUUACUCCUUUUGGGGACUAUAUUAAAUGGGUAAUGAUCUCACCCAUUCAUAGUUAAGUUCUUAACAUUACUCUGAUUCAUGUUUAAAAGCUUUUCAAACAUCUGAUGGCUUUAUAGGGGCUGAAUAUUAACGUAUUUAUACGUAAAGGUUUAGGGUAUUCAUUAAGAAAUAUGGUAAUGUCUUGCCUUUAACAGUUUAAGGGUUAGCCCGGGUUUAAUAUGAUGCAAAAAUGUGAUAAAAUAUUAAGAUGAAGUAUUUAAAAAUAAAUUACUUAAAAACAAGGGUGAAAAAAAGGAGUUAGAGCUGUACAGAAAAUGCAGGCCCACAGUGUACUGGCUGUAAGUAACAGUUUAAUUUUUAAAUUAAAUGGGCCUCUGUUAACAGUUACCAGUUUGAUAAAGUCCCAGAGAAAGUAUAUACUAUCCAACUGUGCAUGUCCUCUUACCUGGAUGUCCCCUUCCUUCCUUGUAAGUUCUUGAACUUCCCUAAAAUAGGACUGUGUUUGAAACCCAUUUUUUAUUCUUGUGGUUUUAUAAAGAAUGCUUGCCAAAAUAUGGGGCUUUUUGUUUUGUUUUGUUUUUUAAAUAAUGUCUGUACCUUAAAUACUUCAACAAAGUCAUUUCAACAAAUAUUUGAGCACUUACUCUGGGCCAGGUGUGGUAGUGAGCAAAAAAGACAAAAAUCUUUUGCCUUCAUGGAGCUUGCAUUCUUUUAUUUAUCUAAGUGUUAGUAAGAAUUUACAUUCUAGGAGUGAUCAGCUAGUGUUUAAUUAGAAAGGUCACACUUCCAAAGCAGCUACUAAAAGCCCUUCGGAAGCUAUUCCUAUUACAUAACAGAUAUUCCUUUAUGUAAUGGAUGUUAGAAAAUGGCUCUUGUUGAAAUUGGUGACAUUUGAUACAUGUGAAUUGCCUAAAUAUUUUGAGGAUAUUCACCUCCCUUAGAAAUAGGGCAUAGAUCUGGUAAACUCUAUACCUUCUCUCUUUUAGAAUGACUUUAGAAUGAAAUCCAGGACUGAUUUUGGAAAAUUUUAGUUGCCUAUUGCCAAUACAAGGUAACAAUGAUGCAUCCAGGGUAUUGCAUCUACUUGAGAGAGAACCUUUUAUGCAGAGGUUGAUGCAUCUAAAGAAACACAAAACUGAAAUUUUAUUGAGUAUACCAAACAGUAUGAACUGUUUUUCUGCUGCUUGCUAAUAAUUUUGUCCAAUAAAUGUUUAUUAUGUAGCUAAA